rnacentral:rRNA from 1 species
CCUACGGGGGGCAGCAGUGGGGAAUAUUGGGCAAUGGGCGCAAGCCUGACCCAGCAACGCCGCGUGAAGGAAGAAGGCUUUCGGGUUGUAAACUUCUUUUGACAGGGAAGAGCAGAAGACGGUACCGGUCGAAUAAGCCACGGCUAACUACGUGCCAGCAGCCGCGGUAAUACGUAGUUGGCAAGCGUUUUCCGGAUUUACUGGGGGUAAAGGGCGUGUAGCCGGGCUGACAAGUCAGAUGUGAAAUCCGGGGGCUCAACCCCCGAACUGCAUUUGAAACUGUUGAUCUUGAGUAUCGGAGAGGCAGGCGGAAUUCCUAGUGUAGCGGUGAAAUGCGUAGAUAUUAGGAGGAACACCAGUGGCGAAGGCGGCCUGCUGGACGACAACUGACGGUGAGGCGCGAAAGCGUGGGGAGCAAACAGGAUUAGAUACCCCUGUAGUC